GCAGUAACACCAACAGGAGAUCUGGGACAGCUUUGCAUCUUUACUAGGGACUGCCAGUGAAUCUUCAGCAGGUGGAAGCUUCCCUGGAACUGGCCUUUGCCCCACGAGGCGGUCGCAGGAGCUGGCAGGUUCCCAUUUGCUUUUUUAAAACAACCAGUAGCGAGUACAGAAAUUGAAGAGGCGCGUUAGUUUUAAGAUCAGACGGCUAAUUGGCACGUGAAGAGUGCAUAUUGACCGUCCUGCUUCUAAGAGGGCUUUACAAGUUGAACUGUCCCGCUCCUCAGUCCUCGCAGUCACGCCGCGCCUGGGCUGUUGCGUAUGUCGUGUUGCUGCUGCUUUAUGAACACGGAGCAGCUGCUCAUCUCGAUCUGUAUCACAAGAGGGCGCUCACCUAAAGCGAAAAGCGCAGGGUUGUGCGUGAAUUCCCUUUUUUCCCUCCUGUUUUUCCUACUCCAGUAUUUUGACAUGGUGCUCAGAUACGUACUAUGAACAGAUGACAAAGUAUGCUCUGUGGGUUAGAAGGAUAGAGACAGAAGCGUUAGCACGAGGAAAAUGAUCCAACUUAUUUGCGUGAUGUAAUUGUUAGUGAUUUUAAUCCAUGUGGCUAAUUGAAGAGCAUUAGCUACUGGGAAUUAAA